CCUACGGGAGGCUGCAGUGAGGAAUAUUGGUCAAUGGGCGCGAGCCUGAACCAGCCAAGUAGCGUGAAUGAUGACUGCCCUACGGGUUGUCAACUUCUUUUAUCAAGGAAUAAAGUGAGGCACGUGUGCCUUUUUGUAUGUACUUUAUGAAUAAGGAUCGGCUAACUCCGUGCCAGCAGCCGAGGUAAUACGGAGGGUCCGAGCGUUAUCCGGAUUUCUUGGGUUUAAAGGGAGCGUAGAUGGGUUGUUAAGUCAGUUGUGAAAGUUUGCGGCUCAACCGUAAAAUUGCAAUUGAUACUGGCAGUCUUGAGUACAGUUGAGGUAGGCGGAAUUCGUGGUGUAGCGGUGAAAUGCUUAGAUAUCACGAAGAACUCCGAUUGCGAAGGCAGCUUACUAAACUGCCACUGACAUUGAUGCUCGAAAGUGUGGGUAGCAAACAGGAUUAGAUACCCGUGUAGUC
rnacentral:rRNA from 1 species